CAGCCGCCGCGGUAAUACGUAGGGUGCGAGCGUUAAUCGGAUUUACUGGGCGUAAAGCGUGCGCAGGCGGCCCGUUAAGACAGGUGUGAAAUCCCUGGGCUCAACCUAGGAAUUGCGCUUGUGACUGGCGGGCUCGAGUACGGUAGAGGGGGGUGGAAUUCCUGGUGUAGCAGUGAAAUGCGUAGAGAUCAGGAGGAACACCGAUGGCGAAGGCAGCCCCCUGGGCCUGUACUGACGCUCAUGCACGAAAGCGUGGGGAGCAAACAGGAUUAGAUACCCUGGUAGUCCACGCCCUAAACGAUGGGUACUAGCCGUUUGGUGCGCGAUAGCGCUGAGUGGCGAAGCUAACGCGUGAAGUCCCCCGCCUGGGGAGUACGGCCGCAAGGUUGAAACUUAAAGGAAUUGGCGGG
rnacentral:rRNA from 1 species